rnacentral:rRNA from 1 species
AGCAGCCGCGGUAAUUCCAGCUCCAAUAGCGUAUAUUAAAGUUGUUGCAGUUAAAAAGCUCGUAGUUGAAUUUCGGGAUCAGCAAGUUGGUCGUGCCACUGGUAUGUACUGGCUUUGCUGAUUCCUCCUUCUUGUAGAACCGUAAUGCCAUUAAUUUGGUGUUGCGGGGAAACAGGACUGUUACUUUGAAAAAAUUAGAGUGUUUAAAGCAGGCUAACGCUUGAAUACAUUAGCAUGGAAUAAUGAAAUAGGACGAGCGAUCCUAUUUUGUUGGUUUCUAGGAUUGACGUAAUGAUUAAUAGGGAUAGUUGGGGGCAUUAGUAUUCAAUUGUCAGAGGUGAAAUUCUUGGAUUUAUUGAAGACUAACUACUGCGAAAGCAUUUGCCAAGGAUGUUUUCAUUAAUCAAGAACGAAAGUUAGGGGAUCGAAGACGAUCAGAUACCGUCGUAG